AGGUGCUUGCACCUUUCAAGUGAGUGGCGAACGGGUGAGUAACACGUGGACAACCUGCCUCAAGGCUGGGGAUAACAUUUGGAAACAGAUGCUAAUACCGAAUAAAACUCAGUGUCGCAUGACACAAAGUUAAAAGGCGCUUUGGCGUCACCUAGAGAUGGAUCCGCGGUGCAUUAGUUAGUUGGUGGGGUAAAGGCCUACCAAGACAAUGAUGCAUAGCCGAGUUGAGAGACUGAUCGGCCACAUUGGGACUGAGACACGGCCCAAACUCCUACGGGAGGCUGCAGUAGGGAAUCUUCCACAAUGGGCGAAAGCCUGAUGGAGCAACGCCGCGUGUGUGAUGAAGGCUUUCGGGUCGUAAAGCACUGUUGUAUGGGAAGAACAGCUAGAAUAGGGAAUGAUUUUAGUUUGACGGUACCAUACCAGAAAGGGACGGCUAAAUACGUGCCAGCAGCCGCGGUAAUACGUAUGUCCCGAGCGUUAUCCGGAUUUAUUGGGCGUAAAGCGAGCGCAGACGGUUAAUUAAGUCUGAUGUGAAAGCCCGGAGCUCAACUCCGGAAUGGCAUUGGAAACUGGUUAACUUGAGUGCAGUAGAGGUAAGUGGAACUCCAUGUGUAGCGGUGGAAUGCGUAGAUAUAUGGAAGAACACCAGUGGCGAAGGCGGCUUACUGGACUGUAACUGACGUUGAGGCUCGAAAGUGUGGGUAGCAAACAGGAUUAGAUACCCUGGUAGUCCACACCGUAAACGAUGAACA
rnacentral:rRNA from 1 species